GCUCCCGUAGCUCAGCGGUAGAGCACGGCACUUAUGGGUGGGAGCCUCCUGUGUACUGAAGGCUGUAACAAGCUGAGCCAUGCCGGGGUCGUGGGUUCAAUCCCCAUCGGGAGCA
rnacentral:tRNA from 1 species